rnacentral:lncRNA from 1 species
UGUUUUAGUUACAGAUUAGAUAUGGGGUUGAUAUACAAUUGCAACAAAUUAUUUUAUUUAAAACAGUAUUUUUAUUAUGGUUUACAAACAAUAAUCUGGUUUGGAAAUUGAAAUUGGUUUACACAUUUGGUUUACACAUAUAACCUAAUGAAAUGAACCUAGACUUAUGUCUUGGAUAGUCUUGCGCCGUCAUGACCGAACGUAUGGUUGGCGAUGACGAAGCGACUUCAGAUUGGAGUUGAGAGCGGCGAGAUUUUGAGGCUUGAGCGGAGGAGAUCUAGACAUUCCGGUGGAGGCAGAGGGCACAUGAGUUCCAACGAAACCAACUCCGGUGAUUGAGUGAAGCUGUUGAAGGAGGUUUUAAUUGGGACUGAAGCUGAGAUUGCGGUGACGAGUUGACCGGUAUGAAGAAGAUGCAACUUGAGACUGAAGCUGAGCGCGGCGAUAUUUUGGGGCUUGAGGAAGGGAGAUCUGGAGAUUGAGGUGAGGAGACGUGAGUUCGACGGACCAGAUCUGGUGACUAAUGCAGUGAAUCUGUUUAAGGAGGUACGAACUGAGCGACGGAUGAGAAAGGGGGAGGAAGAAAAUGAUUAACGGGCAAGUAGAAGACUAAUGAUGGUAAAAAUAGAGAUAAGAGAUUAAGCACAUCAUCAUCGACUCGUGUCUAAUAUGAUGAUGUUUGUAUGGAGGAAGAAGACGAUAUUGAUACAAGAGGAAGAAAGAGUAAGAGCAACAUUAUAGGUGGUG